GACGAACCGUGCGAACGUUAUUCGGAAUCACUGGGCUUAAAGCGCGUGUAGGCGGGCCGGCACGUCGGUCGCUGAAAUCCCCCGGCUCAACCGGGGAAGGGGCGUCGAUACGACCGGCCUGGAGGGGGGUAGGGGGCGCCGGAACUUCCGGUGGAGCGGUGAAAUGCGUUGAGAUCGGAAGGAACGCCCGUGGCGAAAGCGGGCGCCUGGACCCCACCUGACGCUGAGACGCGAAAGCCAGGGGAGCGAACGGG
rnacentral:rRNA from 1 species